rnacentral:rRNA from 1 species
UAGGCGGUUGGUUAAGUCUGGCGUGAAAGCUCUCGGCUAAACCGGGAGAGGUCGUUGGAGACUGGCCGACUGGAGGAUGGUAGAGGCGUGUGGAAUUCCGGGUGUAGUGGUGAAAUGCGUAGAGAUCCGGAGGAACACCAGUGGCGAAGGCGACACGCUGGGCCAUACCUGACGCUAAAGCGCGACAGCAUGGGGAGCAAACGGGAUUAGAAACCCCGGUAGUCCAUGCCGUAAACGAUGCCAGCUAGGUGUUCACGCCGCGCAAGCGGCUGGGGUACCGCAGCUAACGCGAUAAGCUGGCCGCCUGGGGAGUACGGUCGCAAGGCUACAACUCAAAGGAAUUGACGGGGGCCCGCACAAGCAGCGGAGCGUGUGGUUUAAUUCGAGGCUACACGAAGAACCUUACCUGGGUUUGACAUAGCGGUGGUAGGGAACCGAAAGGGGACCGACCUUCGGGAGCCGUUACAGGUGCUGCAUGGCUGUCGUCAGCUCGUGCCGUGAGGUGUUCGGUUAAGUCCGCAAACGAGCGCAACCCCUGGUGCUAGUUACACGUGUCUAGCGCAACUGCCCGUGAGAAACGGGAGGAAGGUGGGGAUGACGUCAAGUCAGCAUGGCCUUUAUAUCCAGGGCUACACACACGCUACAAUGGGCGGUACAAUGGGUCGCGAAACCGCGAGGUGGAGCCAAUCCUGAAAAGCCGUUCGUAGUUCGGAUUGCAGGCUGCAACCCGCCUGCAUGAAGUUGGAGUUGCUAGUAACC